GUGCCAGCCGCCGCGGUAAAACGUAGGAGGCAAGCGUUAUCCGGAUUUACUGGGCGUAAAGCGCGUGCAGGUGGUGGUCUAAGUCGUGCGUGAAAGCGCCCUGCUCAACAGGGCGAGUGCGGGCGAGACUGGACGACUAGAGCUAGAUAGAGGCAAGUGGAAUUCCGGGUGUAGUGGUGAAAUGCGUAGAGAUCCGGAGGAAUACCAGUGGCGAAGGCGGCUUGCUGGGUCUAAGCUGACACUCAGACGCGAAAGCAUGGGGAGCGAACGGGAUUAGAAACCCCUGUAGUCC
rnacentral:rRNA from 1 species